rnacentral:lncRNA from 1 species
CAUGACAGCCUAUUUCAAUGAACAGGACUGCAAGCUCUUGAACCCCAAGCAGGAGACCCUAACCCACAUGCUGCUGGAGCUCACCAGAUCACUUUUCAAUAGGAUGGAUUUUGAAGACUCGGGGAUGGCAGUAAAUUGGAAUCACCACCUGCCUCCACCAGCUGCCAAGACAGUGUGGUUGGGAACCUCCCCAGGACAGUCAUCAGGAGCUCUCAGGCUGAGAGGCACACACAAGUGCCCCAUGUGCUUGAGGAGGAGGAGGCUGUUGUUGGGAUGCCUUGCCAUUAGCUUUUCCAUUCUAACUGCAUUUUGCCCCGGCUAAGCAAGACAAAUCCCUGUCCCUUGUGCUGCCAGGAGCUGCCCGCUGUUAACGACACUUGUGAGGAGCACAGAGGAGAUAAGGCUCGAAACAGCAGCAGCAGCACUGUCUGGAGAACCUCUACAGAGC